CCCAACUCCAGCCUUUCCUUCCAACAGCCUCUGUUCUCACCCAGGCCAGGGUGCUGGGGCAGAGCUCUCCCCUUAUAAAUGUGAGAACUUACAAACAUAUUGAUGAGAAUGAACAUGAAAACAAUCAGUAGACCAUUGUAAAUGCAACCUGCACAUUACAAGUAAGCAUGGAAAAGCAGCUAAAUUUGCAGAGAUUUAAUUUCAGGUCUAGUUCUAUUUAGCUCACCUCAUCAAGCUUACUUCAGAACCCAAUUUUAAUAAACUCUUACAGGAGUCCUAGCCCCAGGAUCCCUGCAGGACCCACUCCUCCCCCAGCCUAGGGUCCCCUGUGCCUAGGGUUCUCCAGGUGACAGUCCUAUGUUUUGCCUGCCUCAUCUCAAGAGUACAAGCCAGGGUAUCUCUCUCACCAAGGAGCUGCUGGUGAUUCAGGCCCUUCUCUGGGUUUACUCAGGAAAAGACCUUGUUCCUUGACCUUCCAUACUUGGUGAAAGAGCUAAACCCAAGCCAAGCAUAUAGCAGUCCUCUCCAGAGAACUACGGAAAAUUCAUUUGACCUCCCAGAGCCAGAGUUUCCUUCCAGGGAAACAGGGAUUCAGCUGCCUGCCUGCCUUCCUCCCUGUCCUGCUGUGAGGCUCAGAGCCUGCUGAAGAGGAAGUACAGCCCUGUGUACAGAGAGAUGGGGGCUCUGCUCGCUCACCCACUCUCUGCCAGGAUGCCUGCUUCCCUUUUCUCUGUGUUCACCCACGUCCUGGAGGCUCCACUGUGAUCACAGUUAAUUAUGGAUGGAUCAGACAAGGAGCAGCCUCUAGAGACCCCUGAAAACAAAGUGUGCAGUCAGCAUGUCAACCAACUGAGGAAGAAGGAAACUAACUGGGAGGGGGCAAGAAGAGAACUUUGGCAUCUAAUAUAAUAUGAGGGUACUUGUCAUAAGAAAGAAACAAAUCCUAACAUUUUCAAUAACAUGGAUGGAGCUGGAGGACAUUAUGCUCAGUGAAAUAAGUCAGGCGGAGAAAGGCAAGUGCCAAAUGACUUCCCUCAUUUGUGGAGUAUAACAAUGAAGCAAAACUGAAGGAACAAAAUAGCAGCAGACUCAGAGACUCCAAGAAGGAACUAGUGGUUACCAAAGGGGAGGGGUGGAAAGGGUGGGUGGGGAGGGAGGGAGAAGGGGACUGAGGGGUAUUAUGUUUAGUACACAUGGUGUGGGGGGUCACAGGGAGAACAGUGUAGCACAGAGAAGGGACAUAGUGGAUCUCUGGCAACUUGCUGCACUGAUGGACAGUGACUCCAUUGGGGUAUGGGUGGAGACUUGAUAAUAUGGGUAAAUGUAGUAACCACAUUGUUUUUUCAUGUGAAACCUUCAUAAGAGUGUAUAUCAAUAAUACCUUAAUAAAAAAUUUUUAAAAAUACAUAUAUAUAUAUGAGGGCACUUGAAUGGCCCAUUGACCCAAAAGCAUCUCCCGCUUUAUAAGAAAUCUCCAACAUGAGAAUCACUAAGUCAGGGACGGUGUAUCUGGAACUAUACAGGAAACUCAGCAAGGAGUCCAGAGUUCCUUUUGCUUUCUUCUCUAUUUAGCCUGGAAACAUUGUUAAAUUAGUUUGUUGACAUUUUGGGGCUGACAUAGUGAGAUGCAAAGU